UCACUGGUGGCUCAGAGGUUAAAGCGUCUGCCUGCAAUGCGGGAGACCUGGGUUCGAUCCCUGGUUUGGGAA
rnacentral:tRNA from 1 species